UCAACGUAUUCUUGAUUAUAUUAGAUGUGUUCAAUAAACAUUUUAAGAAAAUUAUAACAUAUCAUAUGUAGUUUUUGUGAUAUUUCUGAAUAGUGUAUUUCAAAAUGAGUUGGAAAAUUAAUGCAUGCUGUGUUUGUUUUCCUCUGCGAACAGGCUUAUUCGUUUGGGGAUAUUUCGCGAUUAUUUUAAGUUACGUCACGGUCCUCCGUAUGCUCUUCAGGAUUCAGGAUAUUUUAGAAGAAUAUAAUAAUUUCGAUCCGCUGUCGUUUAUAGAGAUAUCUAUAUUACUGGGAAUAUCUGUUAUACAUUUUCUAUUUUACAUCGUGUUCGUAACAGGUCUACAUAAAAAUAGUCGAGGCUGCUUAGAGAUAUUCUACGGGUACAACGUUAUAACAAUGAUAGGAUUAAUUAUCAUAAUUUCUCUGUAUUUGCCAGUACAGGCGUAUAGAAUACACCGUCUAUUUCCGAGUGAUGUCUGGCUCCUCGUCGUGGUCGGUAUAUUCUCAACGGGUAUUACUUUACUAUUUCAGCUCUAUCUCACGAUUGCUGUGCGGAGCCUCAUUUCGAAACUGGAAGACGAAAGAGAUUGUACGUCAACCGUUUAUAUAACAGAUGAUCCUGGAUGCAUUAUACACGGAUACAAUGAAAGAAAUUACUGUGAAUGUUAGUUUCAAUUACUUUUAACUUAACCGUAUGAGAUUGUAUGUUAUGGUUCAAGAUAGAGCACGUUUCGAAGACUGUUGUUCCUGUCGUCAUAAUUGUGUCGAUUCCGUUUCUGUCUCAGCCUCCAGGGACAAUUCUAUUUACAUAUAACAAUUGUCAUGUUUACGAUUCCAAUCCAUUCGACGAUCGAGCGACAACGAUCUAACUUCAACUAUUCUACUAAAUUCGUCGGUUAUGAUGCGAUCCCGAUUAUAUACCGGUCCAACUUCGACCGAACCUAUAACUGCGGCUAAUGAUGUUAGUCGAAUAGAAAAACGGCUGAUGUUUAAGUUUUGAUAAAGUGAUAAUUUGUUAAUAAAAUUGGAUCCCAUUUGUGCUAUUCUGUGAGAAUUGGCUUCGUCUCACUCGUGAAAUUUUGAAAAACGACUUAUGAUAAGCUAUUUAAACGUGUGUCACGAAAAUGUUAUAAUAUUAUUAUAGCUAAUGUUUAAUAUCAGUUUUUGAUAUCUCAUGGUUGUGUUCAGCAAUAAUUUAUAGAAUAACUAUACAGAGAUGUAUAAUUAAAUAAUGUGAAACUGUAAUAGUUAAUAAUAAUUAUUAUAAUGUUAUUAAAAUAAUACACUAUUGUACAGUACGGUUUUUUAUAAAAGGUCGAUUUUUUGUAUAAUCAGUCUUAAUAAUGAUAAAUGUAAUGUCUUAAUAGCUGAAACGAUAUGUAUUU